UACGUAGGGUGCAAGCGUUGUCCGGAAUUAUUGGGCGUAAAGAGCUCGUAGGCGGUCUGUCGCGUCGGCUGUGAAACCCGGGGCUCAACCCCGGGCCUGCAGUCGAUACGGGCAGACUAGAGUGCGGUAGGGGAGACUGGAAUCCUGGUGUAGCGGUGAAUGCGCAGAUAUCAGGAGGAACACCGGUGGCGAAGGCGGGUCUCUGGGCCGUAACUGACGCUGAGGAGCGAAAGCGUGGGAGCGAACAGG
rnacentral:rRNA from 1 species